rnacentral:rRNA from 1 species
CUUGGUCAUUUAGAGGAAGUAAAAGUCGUAACAAGGUUUCUGUAGGUGAACCUGCAGAAGGAUCAUUCUUGUAUACCUGGUCGGGCGUAAGCCUGGCCAAACCAUGUGUGAAACUGUGGACGUCUUCCUGGUGGGUGUCUCGGCACGCUGGGCUAUGCCCAGUAGCUGGGACAUCUGCUGGGGUACCUUUAACGAGGUAAACAUGUUAAUAGCAGGGAACUCAAAAGUAACAAUUACAACUUUUAACGAUGGAUCUCUUGGCUCUCACACCGAUGAAGAACGCAGCAAACUGCGAUAAGCAAUGCGAAACGCAGUUGUUCGUGAGUCAUCCGGUAUUCGAACGCACAUGGCAGGUCUUCGGACCUACGUCUGGUUGAGGGUCAUUUUGACUACUCUCGAGUGAUGUGGCAUGGCACACGCUAUGCUCAAAGGCAUGGUGCGCGGCUGCUUGGUGGACAAUCAAGUGGCCAUGCAGAGGCCGUACGUGGUACGGGCAUACAUGCGUGACCUCAACUCAGGCGAGACGACCCGCUGAACUUAAGCAUAUCAAUAAGCGGAGGA